GGGGAACACAGCAGGUGGAGGAAUCGCCAUGGCUGCCCACGGACUCCUGGUGUCGCUGCUUUUACUGUUCCCUGUGGCGCUGGUUUCAAUGGAGCAGCGCGCCUACUCAGACUCGUACCUGGCGGCGGCCGACCAGAUCAUUUUCAACCUGCUGGACCAGUACCACUACACUCACGGACCAGGUGCAACACCGGAGGCGACCACCCCCGCCCCGCCGGGCCCGCUGUCUGAG